GGAGAAGUUGGGCCGAGUGGAACGAAUGAGGCUGUAGAGGCUUAUUAUAGGGAGAGGGGUCUGGCCCAAUGGAACGAAUGGGAGGGAAAAAUGUUCAUGGAGGGGUGUGUGUGUGGGGGGGUCCAAAUAUUUCUUUAACUGAUCAAAUAGGAGAUAGCUAAUUUUUUUAGCCUAACUGAUCCAAACAAGGGAACAUGAGAAUUGAUUGAUAAAUUCUUGGAAUCGGCCACAUGAUACCCGUC
rnacentral:lncRNA from 1 species